rnacentral:rRNA from 1 species
CAGUCGCCGCGGUAAUACGUAGGUGACAAGCGUUGUCCGGAAUUAUUGGGCGUAAAGGGCUCGCAGGCGGUUUCUUAAGUCUGAUGUGAAAGCCCCCGGCUCAACCGGGGAGGGUCAUUGGAAACUGGGAAACUUGAGUGCAAAAGAGGAGAGUGGAAUUCCACGUGUAGCGGUGAAAUGCGUAGAGAUGUGGAGGAACACCAGUGGCGAAGGCGACUCUCUGGUCUGUAACUGACGCUGAGGAGCGAAAGCGUGGGGAGCGAACAGGAUUAGAUACCCCGGUAGUCCCUGUCUCUUAUAC